UACAGAGGGGGCAAGCGUUAUUCGGAAUUAUUGGGCGUAAAGGGCGCGUAGGCGGCUUGGCAAGUGGAAGGUGAAAUCCCUCGGCUUAACCGAGGAACUGCCUCCCAAACUGCUUGGCUUGAGACCAGGAGAGGUGAGUGGAAUUCCCAGUGUAGCGGUGAAAUGCGUAGAUAUUGGGAGGAACACCAGUGGCGAAGGCGGCUCACUGGACUGGUACUGACGCUGAUGCGCGAAAGCGUGGGGAGCAAACGGG
rnacentral:rRNA from 1 species